rnacentral:tRNA from 1 species
UCCAUGGUGGUCCAGUGGUUAGGACUCGGAGCUUUCACUUCAGGGGCCCAGGCUCAACCCCUGGUCAGGGAA